UUUACGCGUAAUUACAUUUUUCCUAUAUAGACGGGUACAUCACGUGAAUUAUACCGAGAGGAAACACAAUACUCGGUGCAUUCAGUGCAGAUACCUAUAAUAGAAGUGAGAGAAUGAAGGAAUAAAAACGUCAGCUUGUCAACGCGGAUGUCACGACUGUCAUAGACGAUUUUACCUUGUUUUCUAUAAACACGGAGGAAUCGCUUCUGUAUUAGCGAAUUUUUUUUCUGUUUUUAAACACGCCGCCAGAUCUGUUCAGCUAGCUAGCUAGCUGCGUAUGAAACGUCAGAGAGAUUGAGAAGCGAGACGCGUCAUCGUUUCGGUAGAUCUUCAAAGAACACCUGUUUCGCCGACGGAUAUUAGAUUAGAUCUUUGUGACUGUCAUGUGUACAGUUCUACGUCCAGAAUCGUCGAUAAAAAUAAAACUCGAAUGAGCUACACACGUUUGCGUAGUUAUAUUUUUACAACGAAGUAUUAACGUAUGGUUAGACAAUAUUACUUGUCUUUAUCCAAGUUCAGAAUCGAGUCUCAGACUUAAGGAAAAUAGUCGUCUUGUAUUAUUGCAGAGAAAAAGAUAC